rnacentral:tRNA from 1 species
GGAGAGAUGACCGAGAGGUUGAAGGUAGCGCAUUGCUAAUGCGCCGUAUGGCAAAACUAUACCGAGGGUUCGAAUCCCUCUCUCUCCG